rnacentral:rRNA from 11 species
ACUUAAUAAAUAAUUACACUAAAGGCACCAGAUCCUGUCUGAUCCUAGAAGGAAAGCAGGGUCAGCUGCAAUUAGUACUUGGGUGGGAGACCAUCAAUGAUUACCAGAUGCUGUAGGUU